GCUGAUAAUUUGUAUCUUUUUUCUCUUUGAAUGUGCAUCGCUGCUACUAAUGAGGUUUGUCACUAUUCCAACAACAAAUAUCUCUGGAGGUACUUGUGCGUGGUGUUUGAAUGAGAAAGCAGGUGAGUGAACAAGGAAGCAAACGGGAAAUCACAUUAGUAACCAUAGCAGCCAACAGCAAGACUCUUCUCUUCCCAGGAGAAGCUUUCUCUGGUGGAGGCUGGGCUUCCUCUUAAUGAGUUUCACACACUGUUUCACAGUGAUGGGGCAAGUCUUCCAAGUGGUCCAUGUGACUGUUCUGUGUCAGUAGUAAGACCUUCCUGACUCCUGCGCCUUUCUUGAUGAAUAGGAUUGCUUUGCAGCAGCCAGGGACUGGAUCUCUUGCAUCAGAUAAAGCAGAUGAACAAAUCUUGGUUGUAAUUGCAGUUGACUGCCUGAGCUGGCAGAAGAUGGCAGCCAAAUUAUUUUAACUGAUGGGCAUUUGUUUGAUUGCAUCUGUUUAGAAGGCUCUGUUCUUUUAGAGGAUUUUGUUAAGAAACUAUUUAACAAAGGUCACCUUUGUUAGCAAGGAUCAAGAGUGAUCUUCAAUGUCCAGUGUUUUUUUGAGUCUCACUGUACUUUGGGCUACUCCUACUACAAUCAUCAUCAGAGCAGUUUGAUGCUAGUAAUUUUACUUGCUUUGUCUUCACCUUCAAUUUUUUAUCUGUCCUGGGCAGGUAAGUUGUCAGAGUACCACCGUAACUGUUAAUUAUAUUCUUCUUCAAAUUAAGUACAUCUGUCAAAAACUCCAGGCAGUGAAAUGUUUUCAAUAUAAAGCAUAUUUCAGAAUUAUUGUUGGUAUCUCUUUUCACAAACAAUAUUCAGAAGGAUCUGAAAAAUUACUACUUCAAUAGAUCAAAACACAAACAUCUGUUCACUAAGGGAAUAAUUUCUCUUUUUAGUACCAAUUAACUAAUUUAAAUAUAUGGUGACUCAAGAAUGAGAAGAAGUUGUUCUUUUCAUUAACUUGUCAGAAAUAUAAUAGAGGGAGAGACACAAUCAAAAAGUGAUAUAGGGGAAAAGCCAGGAACACUGCAGGAUAAAUAAUUUCACUCAGAGCACAUAGCAGUUUCUCAAGCAGAUAAACUGCACACAAUUAACAGCUUUUCAAUCUCUGUCAUUUCCCACUAUUCUCACACAUGCCCAAGUCAACUCUUAUCACCUACAUAUAGUUUAUCCAAGAAGUAUUAAAUAACUUUGGCCAGAACUACUAGAGGUAAAUAACCACUACCAUAAUAGAAAGCAGGAACCUAAACAGAUGUUAAACAAAAAUCUAGAACAAAAAUCCUUAAGUCUACCAUGUUGUCCAUUUAUAUUGUAUCACCAGCAAGCUUGUGAGAACUGUGGAGCCCAGCUUUAAACUCUGCCUUCCCACCUUCCAAAGUCAAUUUGGACUAAACUGCAAAAUAUCUCUUACUGCCUCAAGAAGAGAAUCCAGCACGUAGUGAGCUGCUGCCCUUGGACCAGUCUCAACAUUUUCACUGCAAUGAUGAAAUCAAGUAACUUAAUAAGGGUUGAAAAGUAAUAGAAAAUACGUCUGUAUAUAAGAAAAGUAUAUCUUUUGCACACUAACAUAUUCACCCUGAUUUUUAAUGCUAUUAUAGAAGAGUGUGAUGUUUCAAGGAGAGCUGUACUGACACAGUAAGUAAAUCAGGAGGGGUGUGAGAUUCUGUGGUAAGUAGUAAGAUCUAGAGAAUGUGCUAAUUCAGUUGGGCAGGUAGCAGUAUCCUGAAAGGUUAGUAAUGGAUCACAAGAAAUCAAUCAGAAUAGAAAGGAGAAACAGAGAGCAAUGGAACAGAAGGUCAAAUCUGCAGUCAGAAAAGACACAAGAAAUUUAGAAAAUACAGCAUACAGGUAAUUUUAGGCAUUUUUAAAAUGAGAAAGGAGUAGUGAAAUAAAUGUGAUGGCAUUACCAAAGACAAAGAUGAUUAGUUUAAUAAAUUGCUUUAAAGUGAAACAUUGCAUAAUAGGCAGAACAGAUCCAUGACCAGUAAGAUCAAGGCUCCUUAUUUGGCUUGACUGCUAAGUCACAACGUGACCUUCAGCAGGUCACUUUAGGAUAGAUCCAAUAAAGGACUCAGGCACCUUAAGCCUGACUUAGGCAGAUUUGAUGUACCUAAGUCAGAAGUGUGACCUCAACACCCUCCUCAGUUGCACACUGACCCUGGAAAAGCUUGUCACUCCAAAAGUCGAAUAUGUGUGCUGUGCACAAACAUGGCUCAGUUGGCAAAGUCCUGUGCCAACCUUCAGUGUCCUACCAGCGCUAUCUUCUGCGUUGCACAAUUAGGUGCCCUUUUUGUGGAAAUAUGGGCACAAAGGGCUAAUGUAGCAUGGGAUUUCACCGCAGUAUGUGCCCAGAACCCAACCGUGCUCAUUUUCUCUCUUUCCUGGCAGUGUAGGGAAGGGCAGAAAAAUGGCUCAGCACUGCUUGAGCAGCAGCCUGGAAAUGGCUGUAUCUGUGUGUCCACUUGCCCUGGAUUGAAAGUCAGUGAGGACAGGAGCUUUUUGGUCCCCUUUUCACCUCAGGGAAUGCAGCCAAUGUACACCUAUGAAUUGUUUCCAGGCUCUGGAUCUGAGGAAAAUGCUUCUUGCAACCUCACCUUGGUUACCUAAGCUGAGUAAACAGCAAGGAUUUCAGCAAUAUCUCCAUGAUGGUCAUGCUUAGAACUGAACUGUUGUUAACUGUUCCCAGCUCAGCAGGUGAACUUCCUUCCCUUCAGAGAUGCUCCACGAGGUGCACCAAGUAACGUGGGCAUGGCACAGGGACACUCAAUGAAGUGAAAAAAACAGAUUGCAGCAUCUGGAUGAAAGAAACUACUGAAAGUAUUAAAAGAAAGAAAACUUUAGAAAGCAACUUUCUGCAUAAUUUGAAAUUUUGCUUUCACUCCAAACCCAGGUAAGAAGCAACGCCAUUAAAAAGAUUGGAUUGAAUAAUGGUACUGUUUGAAUAAAAGCUGAAUAACUUGGAAAAAUAUUACAAAAUAUGAAUAUUCCCUGAAUUCUUUGAAAUUAGAAUAGCUAGACAGAGAGGUAUGCUAAAAUGCAAUGGAAACAAUUUCCUGUUACAGCUUUGCAAUCUGUUUUGAAACUAUCACUUUAUGUUCAUGAAGUUCUUCUGUAGUUUUUUCUUGAUAAUAAACUAGUUUCCUGAAGACUGAUGACAUGCACACAUGAUUUUAAUAUGUAAGUAUUCUUGUAAAUAAACAGAAAAUAAGGAAGUUUUGUGUUAAUCCAUGCAGAAUUGCUAAUUUUGAGAAAAAAUCCUGUUAUUUCAUGGAUUUUUUUUAUUUUCACCUUUCAAUUUCAGUGAUGAUUUCUUGAAGCUGAAAUGCAAGUACAGAAACCUAUGUCACAGAAGUGUUAGGUCUGUAAAUAGGAACAUGAAAAUGGGAGGUGCUGCAAAAUGAAUAUAAAUUAUUAGUUGUAACAAAGAUGAAAACUGGUGUUUAGACCAACAUCCCCUUAGAGUUUGAACAGCAACAUUAGCUUGACCACAGUGCACUUAGUGUGCAUUAAAUUAUACAUUUUGCAAUCUAACCAGCAAUAAAAACUGCUGAAUUUAUAAAAUGCACCUACAUUAAAGGUGACCUGUAAAGAAACAGUCAUAUGUUCUUUCUCUUAGUAUUUAUGGAAUGAUCUCAAAUAGUUCAAUUUCUAUUUUUUCUACAUGUUUGUUGUACUAGAAAUUUGUGUGUUCUUUGUGGUAGAAUAUUUGGUGUCCAGAGAGCUACGUAAUUGUGACAAAACAAAAGCCAAAAUAAGCAAAAUCUUCAUUGUUUUAGCCAUGAACUAGAAAAUAAGGGAUAGCUAAUGUGACUGCUGCUAAGGAUGGAAUGGAUUUUCAUAAACAUCCAAUUCAGAUUUUGCUAAAAUCGACUCUUUUUAGUAAAAGAUUAAAUUUUAUAAAAUUAAUAAUUUUCAAUUGAUUUUUGAGAAAGUAUUUGGUUUAGAGCUUUCAUUCUAUGUGAAGUUGUAGAGAGUAACCUGAGACUAGGUAAAAGAUUCCUGCAAACUUGAGCGAGUUCCUCGGUGUGAAAAAACAACAGCUGCAGAAAACAAAGGCCUAAAUACCUAAAAGGUGUUGUUUUAGGCAUCUAGGAAAAAAAAAA
rnacentral:lncRNA from 1 species